ACAUAAACUCGAUGAAAUUCAAUUAAACGUGUGUCUUUAUUCGUAUACCAUAUUGAGGAGUCACAAGUGUAUUGCCUAAAGAAAAUAUUUUAAUAAUCCAAUUAAGCAAAAUAUGUUUAGGCCUUGUCUCCUCCCAUGAAAAAAAAAAAAUAUGGCAUGAAUAUAAAAAGUUGCGAACAACUUCGUUUAAACAAAGAACAAGGGAGAGUAUUUCAGCCAGACGUGCCCAGCUUUGGGGCAUUCUGAAACUGGCUCUGAGCUGCCUCAAAAACACAUGUGUAUGUAGAUAAGCUAUCCCCAGACUCUUGGCAGUCGAUGCGACUUGCCAAAUAUUAACGACGUGCGGCUCCUCGACGGUAGCGGGCCCGGGUUCACUGGCCAAAGGCUGCCUGGUCAGUACUAUUGCAUCGUAUUAUCUGCGACGUCCUUGUUCAUGCCUAUAUCCUACGGAUUUCUGCUUGGUUCCGCUCCGCUUGUUAAUAACUUAUCAGGAAUAUGAUGCUGGCGACCACAGCGCAUAUUGCCAGACACACAGUCGACGCCAAUGCAGGUUUAUUGUUUAAUUUUGACCUCCACUUCUCGAUGGGACUUGGGUUUUUUCCGAUUGGCAGGCUCAAAAGUGUCUGAUAUAUAUACUAUAUGAUGUCGAGUGACGGCGAUGCAGCUGGUCCGCGGCUUGCUUUGCGUACUUGGUGCCGUUUAUGACACGAGGUGGGUGAUUUAAUUGGGAGCUGCAGUGUGCCUGGCAGACAACUAUUGUUCCUGGGCGCAUGUGUUGACAAUAUGAAUCCGUGACAAUUUGUCCUAUGGCAGAAAAA